UAGGAUUAGGUUUUGGUUUAGGAUUUAGGAUUUGAUUAGGAUUUAGGAUUUGUUUUAGGGUUUGAAUUAGGAUUUGGUUAGGAGUUAGGAUUUGGAUUAGGAUUUGGUUAGGGUUUGAUUAGGGUUUAGGAUUUGGUUAGGGUUUAAUUUAGGAUUUAGGGUUUGGAUUAGGGUUUGGUUAGGGUUUAGGAUUUGGUUAGGAUUUGGUUUAGGGUUUAGGAUUUGGUUUAGGAUUUGAUUUAAGAUUUGGAUUAGGAUUUGGAUUAGAGUUUAGGAUUUGGUUUAUGGAUUGGUUUAAGGUUUAUGGUUUGAUUAAGGUUUGAUUAGGGUUUGAUUUAGGAUUUAGGAUUUAGGAUUUAAGAUUUAAUCAGUUUUUGCCUAAAGUUUGAAUGAAGUUCAAUAUAAUUUUAACUAGAAUUAAAUAAAGAUUGAAUUGAGAUGUAUUUGAGUGAUAUUUGUGAUCCUUCUAAUAUUUCUUUAAGAAUUCUUAUUGUUUGUUUGAAAUUUCUUUGAGUUUUUUUUGAAUU
rnacentral:lncRNA from 1 species